rnacentral:rRNA from 1 species
CAGACCUCUAAUCGGAAAAGACUACGCGCUGAGU